rnacentral:rRNA from 1 species
AUUUUGACCUCGGAUCAGGUAGGGAUACCCGCUGAACUUAAGCAUAUCAAUAAGCGGAGGAAAAGAAACCAACAGGGAUUGCCCUAGUAACGGCGAGUGAAGCGGCAACAGCUCAAAUUUGAAAUCUGGCUCUUUCAGGGUCCGAGUUGUAAUUUGUAGAGGGUGCUUUGGAGUUGACUGUGGUCUAAGUUCCUUGGAACAGGACGUCGCAGAGGGUGAGAAUCCCGUAUGUGGCCGCCAGUCUUCGCCGUGUAAAGCCCCUUCGACGAGUCGAGUUGUUUGGGAAUGCAGCUCUAAAUGGGAGGUAAAUUUCUUCUAAAGCUAAAUAUUGGCCAGAGACCGAUAGCGCACAAGUAGAGUGAUCGAAAGAUGAAAAGCACUUUGGAAAGAGAGUCAAAAAGCACGUGAAAUUGUUGAAAGGGAAGCGCUUGCAGCCAGACUUGCCUGUAGUUGCUCAUCCGGGCUUUUGCCCGGUGCACUCUUCUAUAGGCAGGCCAGCAUCAGUCCUGGCGGUCGGAUAAAUGCCUGCUGAAUGUACCUCUCCUCGGGGAGGACUUAUAGCGGUGGGCGGCAUACGACCAGCCGGGAUUGAGGUCCGCGCAUCUGCUAGGAUGCUGGCGUAAUGGCUGUAAGCGGCCCGUCUUGAAACACGGACCAAGGAGUCUAACAUCUAUGCGAGUGUUUGGGUGUCAAGCCCGAGCGCGUAAUGAAAGUGAACGGAGGUGGGAACCCCUCGGGGUGCACCAUCGACCGAUCCUGAUGUCUUCGGAUGGAUUUGAGUAAGAGCAUAGCUGUUGGGACCCGAAAGAUGGUGAACUAUGCCUGAAUAGGGUGAAGCCAGAGGAAACUCUGGUGGAGGCUCGCAGCGGUUCUGACGUGCAAAUCGAUCGUCAA